rnacentral:lncRNA from 1 species
GUAGUGCUGCAGGGCAAGGAGACUGCUUUGAGGGACUUCCCUUUGAGUAGGUAAAGUGCAAGCUAAUUUUGCUUUUUUUUUUUCAGGAUCUGAAGGAAGCAGUCGUUAUGUCUGAACCUGUGAAGAUCAGUGCAGUUAUCAAGGGGUGAAAACCAACACACAAAUAUUUGUUAUUGAUAAGAUACUUAGUAAUCGGAGCGGCUUCUCACACCCAUGCUAACGGCUUCCAGCCAGGGCUCAACCCAACCCUUUUGUGCCCUGCAGUCAUCGCUGCGUCUUUAAAAGAAAAGCGAUCCGUUGGAAUGCUCUGCGUGCACAAGCCUGUCGGACUCAGCGGGCCCCACCUGCUGAGCAGGUCACUGAUUACAACGCAGGCUUUCAAAGAAAGAAGAGUCUAAAGACAGAGAGAAUCCACUCAUCAGCUAAUUAACUCCCAUAUCUUCAAGUGUUGACAGCUCUCUUCAAAGUCCUGGCUUUUCUAAAACAGGAAUAGCCCAGGGCCACCCCAAACACACUCCCCACGGCCCGCCCCCAGCAAAAGUAACCUGGGCCCUGGGGAUGGAUGAGGAUGGACCCAUCGAGAGAGGCUUGCUGGACAUUUGGCCUAGAGGUUGAUAAGAAACUGUAUCAGUCAAGCUUCUGCAAGGAACAGAUGGUGUCCUCAACAAACAGUGGUUGAAUCCUUGCU